rnacentral:rRNA from 1 species
AUGCGUGCGAUGGGACGCGAGGCAGCAACGGCAGUGGCGUGCUCCUCCAACAAGCCCAAGCUGCGGAGAGGGCUGUGGUCGCCGGAGGAGGACGAGAAGCUCUACAACCACAUCAUUCGCUACGGCGUCGGUUGCUGGAGCUCCGUCCCAAGGCUCGCCGGGUUGGAGAGAUGUGGUAAGAGCUGCAGGCUAAGAUGGAUCAACUACCUCAGGCCUGAUCUCAAGAGGGGCAGCUUCUCCCAGCAGGAGGAGGACCUCAUCGUCAGCCUGCACAAGAUCCUCGGCAACAGGUGGUCCCAGAUAGCGUCGCAGCUGCCAGGCCGGACCGACAACGAGAUCAAGAACUUCUGGAACUCGUGCAUCAAGAAGAAGCUCCGGCAGCAGAGCAUCGACCCCACCACCCACGAACCGCUCAAUGACGCUGCCGCUGUCGCCGAGCCGCACGAUGAGUGCAAGCAGCUAGUCCCCGCUGCGGAAGACGGCGGCUCCGUUGGCAGCGACGAUCUCCUAGCGCCGCACUCCCCGGUCGACUGCAGCUUCGAUCCCAUGUCCGUGACAAACGUCCCCACAAUGCACAUGCAGGGCUCCUAUUCCUUGUGUGACCACGCCUCCACGUACUGCGCCUACACAGGCGGCGGCGACAGCUCCAGCAACAGCAACGGCACCGGCACCGGCACCAGCACCUGGACCUGCGGCAAUGUGGAGCCGCUCCCGCACAUGGACAUGUUCCGCGACGCCGAGCCGUACCCAUUCGACCCGACCAAGUUCAGCCCGUGGCACCAGCAGCACGCGCCGGACGACGACCGCGGCUCCGCGGUCUUCCCGAUCCGCUCGCUGUCCCGGGACCUGCCCGAGUCGUGCUUCGAGCUCGCCCGUGGAGCCUUGGAGGACGAGUUCGACUUCAUGUGA